UGGGGAAUCUUGCGCAAUGGGCGAAAGCCUGACGCAGCAACGCCGCGUGCGGGAUGAAGGCCCUCGGGUUGUAAACCGCUUUCAGCAGGGACGAAGAUGACGGUACCUGCAGAAGAAGCCCCGGCCAACUACGUGCCAGCAGCCGCGGUAACACGUAGGGGGCGAGCGUUGUCCGGAUUUAUUGGGCGUAAAGAGCUCGUAGGCGGUUCCGUCAGUCGGGUGUGAAAACUCUGGGCUCAACCCAGAGACGCCACCCGAUACUGCGGUGACUAGAGUCCGGUAGGGGAGUGCGGAAUUCCUGGUGUAGCGGUGAAAUGCGCAGAUAUCAGGAGGAACACCAACGGCGAAGGCAGCACUCUGGGCCGGUACUGACGCUGAGGAGCGAAAGCGUGGGGAGCGAACAG
rnacentral:rRNA from 1 species